rnacentral:rRNA from 1 species
CAGUAGCCGCGGGAAUACGGAGGGUGCAAGCGUUAAUCGGAAUUACUGGGCGUAAAGCGCACGCAGGCGGUUUGUUAAGUCAGAUGUGAAAUCCCCGAGCUUAACUUGGGAACUGCAUUUGAAACUGGCAAGCUAGAGUCUUGUAGAGGGGGGUAGAAUUCCAGGUGUAGCGGUGAAAUGCGUAGAGAUCUGGAGGAAUACCGGUGGCGAAGGCGGCCAUCUGGGACAACACUGACGCUGAGGCACGAAAGCGUGGGGAGCAAACAGGAUUAGAUACCCCUGUAGUCCUGUCUCUUAUACA